rnacentral:rRNA from 1 species
CUACGGGACGCUGCAGUCGAGAAUCAUCCGCAAUGGGCGCAAGCCUGACGGUGCAAUGCCGCGUGGGGGAUGAAGGCCCUCGGGUCGUAAACCCCUGUCAGAAGGGACGAAAACAAUGACGGUACCUUCAGAGGAAGCCACGGCUAACUACGUGCCAGCAGCCGCGGUAAUACGUAGGUGGCGAGCGUUAUUCGGAUUUACUGGGCGUAAAGGGUCCGCAGGGGGUUUGCCGAGUCCGGUGUGAAAGUUCACGGCUCAACCGUGAAAUGUCGCCGGAUACUGGUGAACUGGAGUGCGCGAGGGGUGAGCGGAAUUCCUGGUGUAGCGGUGGAAUGCGUAGAUAUCAGGAAGAACACCGACGGCGAAAGCGGCUCACUGGCGCGCCACUGACCCUCAUGGACGAAAGCGUGGGUAGCGAACAGGAUUAGAUACCCGUGUAGUC